rnacentral:rRNA from 1 species
AACGAACGCUGGCGGCAGGCUUAACACAUGCAAGUCGAACGCCCCGCAAGGGGAGUGGCAGACGGGUGAGUAACGCGUGGGAAUCUACCUAGUUCUACGGAACAACAGUUGGAAACGACUGCUAAUACCGUAUACGCCCUACGGGGGAAAGAUUUAUCGGAAUUAGAUGAGCCCGCGUAAGAUUAGCUAGUUGGUGGGGUAAUGGCCUACCAAGGCGUCGAUCUUUAGCUGGUCUGAGAGGAUGAUCAGCCACACUGGGACUGAGACGCGGCCCAGACUCCUACGGGAGGCAGCAUUGGGGAAUAUUGGACAAUGGGCGCAAGCCUGAUCCAGCCAUGCCGCGUGAGUGAUGAAGGCCUUAGGGUUGUAAAGCUCUUUCACCGAUGAAGAUAAUGACGGUAGUCGGAGAAGAAGCCCCGGCUAACUUCGUGCCAGCCGCCGCAGUAACAC